UGGGGAAUAUUGCACAAUGGGGGAAACCCUGAUGCAGCGACGCCGCGUGAGCGAAGAAGGUUUUCGAAUCGUAAAGCUCUGUCCUAUGAGAAGAUAAUGACGGUAUCAUAGGAGGAAGCCCCGGCUAAAUACGUGCCAGCAGCCGCGGUAAUACGUAUGGGGCGAGCGUUGUCCGGAAUUAUUGGGCGUAAAGGGUACGUAGGCGGUCUAUUAAGUCAGGUGUGAAAGCGUGAGGCUUAACCUCAUUAAGCACUUGAAACUGAUAGACUUGAGUGAAGGAGAGGAAAGUGGAAUUCCUAGUGUAGCGGUGAAAUGCGUAGAUAUUAGGAGGAAUACCGGUGGCGAAGGCGACUUUCUGGACUUUUACUGACGCUAAGGUACGAAAGCGUGGGGAGCAAACAGG
rnacentral:rRNA from 1 species